GAACAAAAAUGGAUGGAGAUGUGCUCUUUUUAUUUUACUGGGAAAAAUGGGGUCAAAGUCAAAGGUGUUGGCAUGACCCUGCUCUUGUACAACAUUAAGUGUAGUUCGAGGUUUCAGUUCUGCUGCUGAAGAAAAACAGAUUUCUAAGCCACUGUGGGAUUUACCCAGCUCGUACCCAGAUCACAGCCUUCAGCGCUCUCCCCAGGCCUCUUGCUGAAGAUGCAGCCUCCAAAAGAUGAGCAGUUUAUGAAACAGAAGCCAAAGGGUGAUAAAUAGGAACAGAAGAUUAGAGA